ACAGAGCAGAGCAGGCUCCAACUUGAGGUUUAAGGAAAAAAAACUUUAUUAACCUAAAACUACAAAGGAAAACACUAAGGAAAAACACACAAAAUACAUAGAACCCAAGAUGAAAACCUUCCAAAUUUCUUCCUCCUCCCCCCACCUAGAUUUCCAAUUCCAUUACCACCAAAUCCACCCUUUAGAUAAUCAGUUCUCAAUUCCUCGAGAAGAGAGAAGUCCCUCUUGCACCACAGACUUCCCCAGGAAACAGUCGAAACUUCUCGUGUUUCCAUGUCACGUGUGGCACCGCCCGGAGAACAUUUUGCCAUCGUGACUUCUUCCUUCCAUGUCCAGUGCUCUCACCACUGCACAUGGACCAGAGCUGCUUCUAGGGUUUUUCUCUUUAAGGAUACUUUGUCCAGUUCCAAAAAGAGCACAGUCCCUCUCCUUUUGGGACACCUGUCCCCCCCAAAUUUCACCCCCUGGGGCCGAGGGGUCUCUUGAACAGAGAUCAUCUUCCUCUUCCUCUUCUUCGAAGCGGAGGGCACCACCACCACCCUCCUCACCCGUCGUCUCUGUUCACACUCCUCCACAUCACUGCACUCUCCUGGCUCUGAGCCAUCGCCUCCCCCUAGAAUGCAGUCUCUGUGUCACAGGAACACAAGGGGUUCUGCUGUGGCUAUACAAGAAAAGUCCAGCCAAAGGCCACUCCAUCAUCUCCUCCCACCUAGGAUUCUUCUCAACAUCCUCUCAAUCUCAUCAACUUCAGGAGGAAUCAGCAUUUGCAAGGUUUCCAUCCUCCCCAGAAGGGUUAAAAGUCCCAGGCUCUGCCGGUUUGCUUCAUGAACUCCCACGCCUGGCUGCCCUGCUGGGCACCCCCCCCUUCUCCUUCACGCCGGCCGCUAUCACAGGCGCCGGCUCUGUCUCUCUCCCUCUCUCCGGGGGGGGGGGGGGGAAUGGAGGAUGGCUGCCCGAAGCCCUUGCAAUGUUCUCCUCCACCCUUGGGCCCAGGCCUGGCCUACCUCUCUCUCUCCGGCCACAUGGCUCCCCUCCCCCCCUGCCCAGCCAAAGGAGCUGGGCAGGGGGGUCUGCUCACUCUCAAGCGGGACUCCAAGAGGAAGUUCCCCUGGGAGAUCACAGCUUUUUAACCCCUGUGUUCUCAGAGGCGUAUCCAUGCUCUCAGUGGACAAACCAGGUGCCAAUAUUAAAUCUGAACACUGAUUGGCUUGCCCACACCAUCACAAAAACUUC
rnacentral:lncRNA from 1 species